ACUAUAAAGUAACCUCUAAAAAGAACAUUUUAAGUUAGGAAUUCCAUGCUAAUUACAAAAUCCUUAUUUGUUUUCAAUACCACUCCCCUAAGUUGGUUCAUGUCUGGGAUUGUGUCUCCAACUAAGUGCCGGUAUUUGUUAGACGCGAAAGCCGGGCAAUGACAAAGGAAAUGCUCCAAUGUCUCAUCAUCUUCGCCGCAUGCCUACACAUGCUAUCACGUGCCGCACCGAUUUUGCAUAAUAAUAGUCUCGUCUUCUCACGAUCUGGAUCCCGCAUAGGAUUUUCGUCGUCCUACCGACCGUUUCGCUGUUCCACAAUGUUGCAUGCGCAUUCGUCGCCCACUCCCUUAACUCGGACUGCGUCAACCGAAAGGUUUCGGGUUAACUAUGUUUAUUGACGGCAGUCCUCUGGGCUUCACCGCCAAAUCGUCUGCCAUUUCAUUUCUCCUUACUCCGUUGUGGCCCGUCACCUAAACGAUGCGGAUUUUGCCAUCCUCAGAGAAGGCGCUAAUUUCCUUCUUACACUGCAAGACUGUUCGUGGCCUUACCGUCCUGGUUGUUAUUGCCAUUAUGGCAACUUUACUGUCCGUAAAGAUGUUCGCACUCGACGUCCUCGCGUUAGCACCACACCACUUAACGCAUUCCAUGAUCGCCCAGAUCUCCGCCUGCAGGACCACAACAACAACUUAAUAAACCAAUUCGUUGGAAAACUGUUUGUUCACUCAAAAACACGUUUAAAUGACCUAAUUGAAAUAAAUAUUGAUAUUUUCCUCACAAAAAAACCAUUAAUUGGUACAACAAUAUGGUUUAACAAAAUAUUUUAUUGUUGCGAAGCCACUAUGCAGUUGACGAAAAGUCCAAGUCAAUUUUUUCCACCGUGAUUGCCUUUUUGUUUUAUUGCUGUUUUUGUUAAGACGAAGUAUAUAUAUAUGUGGAUGGAUUUGACUAAAGUUUACAAAAAGUUCGCAUAUCGUUUUAAUGCGAUUUGUUUGUGUAAAAACGUCUUCAAAUGCUCGAAAGCGAUGCAAAUGGAAAUAGUACAAACUCUAUUGAAGUUGGUAUAUCAAAAAUAUGAUAUCAGGUGGUAAACGAUGUUGCGUUGGUGUUUUCAUAGGAACCAAUGGAUAUGAAAUCAAUUGCUGAAUGGAAGGAAUCGAGAGAAUAUGCGAGAAAGAAGAUGACAACAAAGAGAAUGCAAGUAAAAAUCUGACAUCUUAAUACCGUCAAACCUGACCGGCCAUGACCUCCUUGGUGGCCACCAUAAUAAACAGAUUGGUAAUAAAACCAAUACCAGUUCGGUAAUAAAGGUAGUACCAACGGGGCUAAUAUUUUAUAUUUCUUCCAUACCAUGAACUUUUGCUUUGUUACCAAACCGUGUUGCUUUACUAUAUAUACCGGAAUGGUACUGAAAUGAGCACGUUUGGUAUCAA